rnacentral:tRNA from 1 species
GGGCCCGUAGCCUAGUUUGGAUAAGGCGUCGGCCUUCGGAGCCGAAGACCCAGGGUUCAAAUCCCUGCGGGCCCGCCA